rnacentral:lncRNA from 1 species
GAUCUUUCAAUAGUUCUUGAGGGUAGUUAUGGUCUACACUGUGGGUCAUCAUUCUCUUAGUAGAGUGUCUCCUAAAUCUUGGUCAUGAAUGGGGUCAGAUUACUAAAAACAAACUUCACACUAAUUAUAGGCAACUUUUUUCCAAGUGCCUUGAUCAAUGCAAUACUUUCAAUUUUAUGGGACAAGUAAUUGGGGGAUCAAAACUAGGGUGUGUGGGGGCUAUUCCAUCGAUUAGCCAAAAACACUCAACACAAUAUGUUCAUGCACGGAAUAAGCAUCUUGGUAGUUUCUAGAAUUUGUUC